rnacentral:rRNA from 1 species
UACGUAGGGACCAAGCGUUGUUCGGAUUUACUGGGCGUAAAGGGCGCGUAGGCGGCAUAUUAAGUCAGCUGUGAAAUCUCCGAGCUUAACUCGGAACUGUCAGCUGAUACUGAUGUGCUAGAGUGCAGAAAGGGCAAUCAGAAUUCUUGGUGUAGCGGUGAAAUGCGUAGAUAUCAAGAGGAAUACCUGAGGCGAAGGCGGGUUGCUAGGCUGACACUGACGCUGAGGCGCGAAAGCGUGGGGAGCAAACAGG